UAUAUGUGUAUUGUUGGUGUGUG
rnacentral:miRNA from 1 species